rnacentral:misc_RNA from 1 species
UCCGAGUUGACCCCGGCAGUCUCCUAUGAGUCCCCAGCACCCCGAAGGGCCUGCUGGCAACAUAGAACGAGGGUUGCGCUCGUUGCGGGACUUAACCCAACAUCUCACGACACGAGCUGACGACAGCCAUGCACCACCUGUACACCAGCAAAAGGGCCCCCAUCUCUGGAGCUUUCCGGCGUAUGUCAAACCCAGGUAAGGUGGGGAUGACGUCUCCUCAUGCGUU